rnacentral:rRNA from 1 species
GACGAACGCUGGCGGCGUGCUUAACACAUGCAAGUCGAGCGGAAAGGCCCUUCGGGGUACUCGAGCGGCGAACGGGUGAGUAACACGUGAGUAAUCUGCCCUUGGCUUUGGGAUAACUACCGGAAACGGUGGCUAAUACCGGAUACGACAACCGUCUGCAUGGGCUGGUUGUGGAAAGUUUUUUCGGCCAGGGAUGUGCUCGCGGCCUAUCAGCUUGUUGGUGGGGUAAUGGCCUACCAAGGCUUCGACGGGUAGCCGGCCUGAGAGGGUGACCGGCCACACUGGGACUGAGACACGGCCCAGACUCCUACGGGAGGCAGCAGUGGGGAAUAUUGGACAAUGGGCGGAAGCCUGAUCCAGCAACGCCGCGUGAGGGAUGACGGCCGUCGGGUUGUAAACCUUUUUCAGUACCGACGAAGCGCCGAUGAUGGUGGUGACGGUAGGUACAGAAGAAGCACCGGCCAACUACGUG